CUAGGUGAUGCUCCAAUGGCGGGGCAGCGGGCUGUAACCCCGUGGCGUUAUACGCAGGCAGGUUCGAUCCCUGUCACCUAGAC
rnacentral:tRNA from 2 species